AUGGGUUACAUGGUGGUAGGCAUGUUGAUAUGCUUUUUAUGUGCAUCCGGCGAUCUCACUUCAGUACAUGCAUAUGGACGCAUGCAAAACAAUGGGACGUUUUUAACAUCGCCAAGAUCAGCCUCAUUUGUGUUAGCUGGGAGGAACAAAUACAAAGGAAACAAUGAUUACAAUCAUGUAGCUGGCUGGAUCACGCCAGCGAGCAGCUAUGGCGCUCGAGUUAAAAUAGGUAUAUGGGGUUCACAAGUGCAACGUCAUUCCCAAGAAUCUGGAGCAGCAAUAAGUAUCAGCACUGUUGAUCAAGAUGAGCCUUUCAAUAUGAUCGAAGCUGGAUUUCAUGUACUUCCUGAGUUAUAUAAUAAUAAUGAUGUCCAUUUCUUUAUACGAUGGACGAACGACGACCACAAAGCAACGGGUUGUUAUAAUUUGGAAUGCCAUGGUUUUGUGCCUGCUAGUGGAGCUGCACUUGUUCCAGGUCAAGCUGUUGCUCCUCCCUCAACUUACGGCCGGGACGACCGCUACAUAACAAUUAGCCUGCAUACAGAUGCAAACACGAGAGAUUGGGUGUUGUAUCGAGACGACUUGCAUAAACCUGCAUUUUUGGGGCAUUUUCCAAAAGAGCUUUGUCCUAGACUGUAUGGUAUAGCCCCCGGAGUAGCAUUGCUUGGAUUUGUCAAUUACCAGGAUAGGGAUAAAGGUGGUCCCGCAAUGGGUAGUGGUCAUUUUCCGGAAGAGGGCCAAAGGAAAGCAUAA
rnacentral:rRNA from 1 species